ensembl:lncRNA
AUAUAAUUUUUUUUUUCUCUCUCUAAAGUUUAGUACAAUAUAUGGCACCGCGGACAGUGCCGUCUUUGAUUUUGCACAACUAUUAUAUUCGUAUAGAAUGAGAUGUAAAGAGCUGUGAACUGUCAAAAGUGAUAAGGUAUAGCUAAGAGUGGUCCAGACCAACCUUACGAAAGUAUGAUUUACUGAAGGUAUAGCCUACUAAACUAAGAAUGUUUCGGGAAACACGUAUUAAGGUACAUGUUAAAGUUCAACUUAAUGUAACAGGUAUUUUUGUAAAGGGACUUUUAUUUUGAUGGGUUGCCCCGUUUUCGGGUAUGUUAGCGGGAGGUGAAAAGAUGUCUGGGAAGAAGGAGAAAAAGAGAGCAGUUUUUACGAGAGAAAGACACGCCAUGAUUGCUGUGUGGGAAAUCAGCAGUUUUUCAACGGAAAACGUGAAAGAAGAUAGUAAUAUACAGUUCAUCUGAGUUUUUGUGAGUUAAACGAACAUUAACGCCAUCGUCGUCUGAGACUGGAAACGGAGCUGGUGCAGAAGUUCGGCUGAUUGCGUCAUCGAACAGCGUGAGAGACUGGCUGAGAGCACGAGAGUUAGUUGCUGGAGCCGUGAGUUUCUUCCUGAACGCUGUUGUUUUGCAUCUUUCGAACUGUAUGUAUUUUUGAGAGUUUUUCUGCGUGCCUGAGUCAUUAAUGAGCUGUGCUUUGGACUGAGAGACGUUAAUUUCUUCCUGCUUGUCAGUCAAGUGCACUUGUUAGUGCGUGAGAAGAUGUAAAUGAACUGGAAGUGAGUUUUUUCACAGUGUUUUUUCGUUUUCGCUCUCUCUUACUUUUUGCAUUUUUUUGUAGAGACUGCCCAUUGCCUAAGAUCCGUUUUGCUUUUGGGAAACUUUUAUUAUUAUUUUUUAUUUUUUUUCUUAUUGAGACUGAGUCAGUGCAUGCUGUGGCAGAGCUGCGCCAUUUUGUUCCAGGAAAUUCCGGGUUUUUUUUUGGAAAUUUGCUAGUUUUAUUAUUAUUACCCUGCCAUCCUGACGACAUCUCCUUACUUUCCUGUCCCAGCUGUUCAUUUCUCUAUUACAGGUCAUUGCAAGUAAUUUCUUCAAUUUCAUCAUCGCUAAAGACUGGUACAACGUUCAUUGCACAUAUACAUACAUGAACUCUUACUGAUAUAGACUGAACUGCGAACUUGAACUAGGUAACUGAACUGGGUUUGAUGUGAAAAUUGAAUCAUCUGUCGAAUCGCAAGAGUCAUUUCAGAGUUCAUUUGAAUUAAGUCAAGUUAUUUCAGAGUUUAUUUGAAGUGAAUCAUUUGUGAACUGAUUGUUAUUCCAGAGGUGAACACAAGUUUUAUGGUUAAACAGUUGGUGGUGCACCACGGGUAAAGAUUAUAGUGACAAAUUUAUUUGAGCAACAUUGUUUUAUUUGUUUUUUUACAUUUUUCAUGUAUUGUUCUGAUCUUCUUUUCCUGCUCUGCAAAAGAAAAAAAACAUUUUAAAAGGAGAUAAUUAAAUCUGAUUGAAUGUUAAAGUAAAUCUCAAGAGUACUAUCAUUGUUGAACUUACCUUGGAGUAGGGGCGUCUCACUUGCUCUGUUAGGUACUGGGGUGGUGGGAAUGUGAAUUGGUAUUGUUAAAUUGCCUCACAUAUUUACACUUCAGGCGGCCACCAAAUUAAUACAAGUAUUUGUAGACUUAACUGAAGCCACACUCUCUGGUCCCUUUAGUAUAUUAUACAACAGAGUAAGGUAACACGUAUACAUAACCUAUACCUUGAGACUCAAAGCACUGAGGUGGGGGGACCAAGAUCCUUUCCUCCUAAAGUCUUCC